UCAUCGAAUCUUUGAACGCACCUUGCGCUCCUUGGUAUUCCGAGGAGCAUGCCUGUUUGAGUGUCAUUAAUAUACAUAUAUCAAGCCUUCUCUUGUAGAAGGGUUUGGAUGUGGGGGUUUGCUGGCCUCUUAAUCUUAAGAGUUCAGCUCUCCUGAAAUGCAUUAGCAGAACAACCUUAUGUUCAUUGGUGUGAUAACUAUCUACGCUAUUGAAUGUUGAGGGGGAAAGUUCAGCUUUCUAACGGUCCUUGGACAACUCAUCAUUAAUGUGACCUCAAAUCAGGUAGGACUACCCGCUGAACUUAAGCAUAUCAAUAAGCGGAGG
rnacentral:rRNA from 1 species